rnacentral:miRNA from 1 species
UACAAAGUAUUCGAAAAGGCGUGC